CAGUAGCCGCGGGAAUACGAACCGUGCGAACGUUAUUCGGAAUCACUGGGCUUAAAGCGCGUGUAGGCGGGCGGGCACGUCGGCUGCUGAAAUCCCCCGGCUCAACCGGGGAACGGGCACCGAUACGACCCGCCUGGAGGGGGGUAGGGGGCGCUGGAACUCACGGUGGAGCGGUGAAAUGCGUUGAGAUCGUGAGGAACGCCCGCGGCGAAAGCGAGCGCCUGGACCUCUACUGACGCUGAGACGCGAAAGCCAGGGGAGCGAACGGGAUUAGAGACCCCAGUAGUCCCUGUCUCUUAUU
rnacentral:rRNA from 1 species